rnacentral:ncRNA from 2 species
UUUCUGAUGUAGGUAAAGGUGCGAAAGACUCAUCGAACCCCCUAAUAGCUGGUUUCCUCCGAAGUUUCCCUCAGGAUAGCUGUAAUGCAUUUAGUUAAGGGGAGUAGAGAUAUGGGUAGAGGUGCAGGGAGCCUUCGGGUUCUCAACUUAUUUCCAAACUUCGAACCUCCUUGUUAGGCAUUUACCUAACUGGAAAUGCUUAAAUGAAUUAGCGUUACAAGUGGGCUCUGACCGGUAAGCGGUCAUGGCGAAAUGGGAUGAACCAUACGUCUGAAUAAGGUGCCGAAAUGUACUAUCACUGAUACCAUAAAGGGAGUCCAUGUAUUUAGACAGCAGGUCGGUGCCCCUAAAAGCAGGUAUCCGCUAAAGAGUGUGUUAAAACUCACCUGCCGAAUACUAGGGCCCCGAAAAUGAAUGGCGCAUAUAGUACUACCGAUCUCAGACAUCAGUUCUAUUGAACUGAGAGUAGGGGGAUGUGGACAUUUUUGUGAAGGUGCAAUGUGAGUUGGACUGGAAGAAUGUCUAUUACAGAUCCUAAUUGAAGUAGCGAUUAUCCAGGCUUGUAUCCUGGGGGCUGAUGAGGAGUAGGGUUUCUGGACAACUUAAACAGAUCCAGAGUUAGUCGAUCCUAAUCUCAAUAAUGGGAGAAAGGGAGUACAGUUGAUAUUCUGUAACUGACAACAGUUCGCGGCAACGCAUACUAUUUUUCUCCGCCAAUCUUAUACCGUUGGUAGGGAUCUCUUUCCUACAUGACAGUACUAAUACCCAGGGAAACUGGUCAUCAGGCGAACUGCGGCGUUCUGCUGGCAAAACAUAGCUUCGGUUAUGUCAAUGGCUAUUGGAUUGGUCCAUGAAGCGAAAAAUAGUUUACUGUGUCACUCGUACCGAUAACCGCAUCAGGUCUUCUAGGUAAGUAGCCUAUGGCCAUUGAGGCAUGAUAGUUCAGGGAAUUCGGCCAAUUAGAGCUGUAACUUC